rnacentral:tmRNA from 1 species
GGGGGUGACUGGUUUCGACAGGGUAUGUCUGAGAUGGUAAGCAAGCCGUGGUCUCCUCGCCACGUAAAACAGGGGUACCGUCAAAUUGAAUUGACAACAACAAAUCUUUCGAGCCUCAACUGGCUCUCGCCGCAUAACGUAAGUCGGCGCGCCUAACCAAGGGUUCUCCCGCCUUUGGGGUGGUGUCAUCUGAGGGAGAUGCUCGCGCGAACGUAGCUGGUAUGUCGUGCGAAAAGAUCGAACCCGCUAGGACGCUGAGCGCGCGUUGCCAGGUGCGAUGCGUCCGAAACCCAACUGGCAACUGAGCUUGGAGAAAGCCGUCAGGGAUGUGCUUUGGACCGGAGUUCGAUUCUCCGCACCUCCACC